rnacentral:rRNA from 1 species
CUACGUGCCAGCAGCCGCGGUAAUACGGAAGGUCCAGGCGUUAUCCGGAUUUAUUGGGUUUAAAGGGAGCGUAGGCUGGAGAUUAAGUGUGUUGUGAAAUGUAGACGCUCAACGUCUGACUUGCAGCGCAUACUGGUUUCCUUGAGUACGCACAACGUUGGCGGAAUUCGUCGUGUAGCGGUGAAAUGCUUAGAUAUGACGAAGAACUCCGAUCGCGAAGGCAGCUUUCCGUUUCGGAACUGACGCUGAGGCUCGAAAGUGCGGGUAUCGAACAGGAUUAGAUACCCUGGUAGUCCGCACGGUAAACGAUGGAUGCUCGCUGUUGGAUAUUUUUAUUCAGUGGCUAAGUGAAAACGUUAAGCAUCCCACCUGGGGAGUACGCCGGCAACGGUGAAACUCAAAGGAAUUGACGGGGGCCCGCACAAGCGGAGGAACAUGUGGUUUAAUUCGAUGAUACGCGAGGAACCUUACCCGGGCU